UCACUACCAGAUGGACCUGCGUUGUAUUAGCUAGUAGGUGAGGUAACGGCUCACCUAGGCGACGAUACAUAGCCGACCUGAGAGGGUGAUCGGCCACACUGGGACUGAGACACGGCCCAGACUCCUACGGGAGGCAGCAGUAGGGAAUCUUCGGCAAUGGACGAAAGUCUGACCGAGCAACGCCGCGUGAGUGAAGAAGGUUUUCGGAUCGUAAAGCUCUGUUGUAAGAGAAGAACGGGUGUGAGAGUGGAAAGUUCACACUGUGACGGUAUCUUACCAGAAAGGGACGGCUAACUACGUGCCAGCAGCCGCGGUAAUACGUAGGUCCCGAGCGUUGUCCGGAUUUAUUGGGCGUAAAGCGAGCGCAGGCGGUUAGAUAAGUCUGAAGUUAAAGGCUGUGGCUUAACCAUAGUACGCUUUGGAAACUGUUUAACUUGAGUGCAGAAGGGGAGAGUGGAAUUCCAUGUGUAGCGGUGAAAUGCGUAGAUAUAUGGAGGAACACCGGUGGCGAAAGCGGCUCUCUGGUCUGUAACUGACGCUGAGGCUCGAAAGCGUGGGGAGCGAACAGGAUUAGAUACCCUGGUAGUCCACGCCGUAAACGAUGAGUGCUAGGUGUUAGGCCCUUUCCGGGGCUUAGUGCCGCAGCUAACGCAUUAAGCACUCCGCCUGGGGAGUACGACCGCAAGGUUGAAACUCAAAGGAAUUGACGGGGGCCCGCACAAGCGGUGGAGCAUGUGGUUUAAUUCGAAGCAACGCGAAGAACCUUACCAGGUCUUGACAUCCCGAUGCCCGCUCUAGAGAUAGAGUUUUACUUCGGUACAUCGGUGACAGGUGGUGCAUGGUUGUCGUCAGCUCGUGUCGUGAGAUGUUGGGUUAAGUCCCGCAACGAGCGCAACCCUUAUUGUUAGUUGCCAUCAUUCAGUUGGGCACUCUAGCGAGACUGCCGGUAAUAAACCGGAGGAAGGUGGGGAUGACGUCAAAUCAUCAUGCCCCUUAUGACCUGGGCUACACACGUGCUACAAUGGCUGGUACAACGAGUCGCAAGUCGGUGACGGCAAGCUAAUCUCUUAAAGCCAGUCUCAGUUCGGAUUGUAGGCUGCAACUCGCCUACAUGAAGUCGGAAUCGCUAGUAAUCGCGGAUCAGCACGCCGCGGUGAAUACGUUCCCGGGCCUUGUACACACCGCCCGUCACACCACGAGAGUUUGUAACACCCGAAGUCGGUGAGGUAACCUUUUAGGAGCCAGCCGCCUAAGGUGGGAUAGAUGAUUGGGGUGAAGUCGUAACAAGGUAGCCGUAUCGGAAGGUGCGGCUGGAUCACCUCCUUU
rnacentral:rRNA from 1 species